rnacentral:rRNA from 1 species
AUUGAACGCUGGCGGCAUGCUUUACACAUGCAAGUCGAACGGCAGCGCGGGGCAACCUGGCGGCGAGUGGCGGACGGUGGAGUAAGAUAUCGGAACGUACCCAGAAGUGGUGUAUAACGUAGCGAAAGUUACGCUAAUACCGCAUACGAUCGACUGAUGAAUGUGGGGGACCGCAAGGCCUUUUGCGUUUGUGGGCGCCGGUAUCUGAUUAGCUAGUUGGUGAGGUAAAGGCGCACCAAGGCGACGAUCAGUAGCUGGUCUGAGAGGACGACCAGCCACACUGGAACUGAGACACGGUCCAGACUCCUACGGGAGGCAGCAGUGGGGAAUUUUGGACAAUGGGCGCAAGCCUGAUCCAGCCAUGCCGCGUGAGUGAAGAAGGCCUUCGGGUUGUAAAGCUCUUUUGUCAGGGAAGAAACGGUAGAGGCUAAUAUCCUUUGCUAAUGACGGUACCUGAAGAAUAAGCACCGGCUAACUACGUG